GUCAGCUCGUGUCGUGAGAUGUGGUUAGUCCGCAACGAGCGCAACCCCUAUUGUUAGUUGCCAUCAUUCAGUUGGGCACUCUAGCGAGACUGCCGGUAAUAAACCGGAGGAAGGUGGGGAGUGACGUCAAAUCAUCAUGCCCCUUAUGACCUGGGCUACACACGUGCUACAAUGGUUGGUACAACGAGUUGCGAGUCGGUGACGGCGAGCUAAUCUCUUAAAGCCAAUCUCAGUUCGGAUUGUAGGCUGCAACUCGCCUACAUGAAGUCGGAAUCGCUAGUAAUCGCGGAUCAGCACGCCGCGGUGAAUACGUUCCCGGGCCUUGU
rnacentral:rRNA from 1 species